GGAGCACUCACACACCCAUAUAAUGUUCAAACAAUAUAUAUAUAUAGGAGCUGAUCCCCUAAACAGCAAUCUUAAAUCCAAUAUCUGCCAACGAGUACAUCUCAAGUCGAACUUUCUCUUGAUAGUCCAAAUACGGGGGCUAGCGAGAUCAACUCGAGCCGUGCCUAUCCCGUCUUAACCACAAUAAGAUCGGGUCCCAGCGAGGCAAGCUCUA
rnacentral:misc_RNA from 1 species